UGGAAUGCUGCAUGACCGCCGGGGCGGGUCGUCACCGGGCACGUUAACCCGGGUAGAAUGCGUUGUGGAGUGUCACCUGGCUCCAGGGACCGAAGAGGGAAGGAGACCCCAGAUCUGUUCAGGGAGCUAGGAGCGGCAGAACCCCUGCCAGGGAUUCUGCGUUUUCCAUCGAGGACAGGAAAAGCUCAGUUUGCUGAGAGGACCAGAUCUCUGGUAAAUGAGUGUGAGAAAGAGCCAUGGCAGGGGUCCCCCAGCAUCCGUGACAUCAGAUAGCAGUUAUUCUUCCAAGAUGCACCCCGGCCCGUGCCCUGGAGGGCAGAGUCCUGCUCAGCAGCCCGGCUGAGCUUAAAGAAACCAGAUGGGCUUUCGGAAAACCGGAAGUUGCUUCGUGGGUGCAGAGUUUCAGCUGGGAAAGAAGAGAAUGCUCUCGAGUUGGGUGGUGGUGACGGUUGCACGACAGGGUGACUGCGCUUCAUGCUGCCCAACUGUAUGCGUAAAGUGGGUCAGAAUGAGCCAAAGAGCAGUGAGGACGAAUCUCACACAGUAAUGUGGCCCCACCAAAGCCGGACACAAAGGAGUAAUGCUGUGCGAUUCCAUUUAGGUGAAGUUCAAAAGCAGAGGCACAUUCCUUUGCUGAAGAUUCAACAAACUGGACUGCAGGACAUGUGGACACAGAAACCUUCCCUCUCCUCGGAAACAUUUAAUGGGUUGGAGGCAGAGGGUUCAGAAGGCCACGAAGCUUCAUAAACCCUUCAUGGGUUCCUAAAGCCGCCAUUCUUCUUCCCUGGCUUGGGUGUACUUCCUGGGGCUUAGGCCUGUAUGCCUCUGGGAACCUGGAGCUGAGCUUUUGGGGGCAGACUAGGGGACAGUGAAUCCACCAGCCAGCAGUCUCUGAAAAUGUCCUCUCCGUCUCCUCCAUCCUGUGAGGUUGACGCCCAAGCACCGUGCCUCCUGGGGCUUUCAUCAAGCAACAAUUGUGACUUGCAGAAAGGUUUGCCCACCUGGAAAUGUAAGGGAGGUCUCUGAAAUGCUCCACAUCCGGCCUGCUGUCAGGUAGAAAUUGAGCGGCAUGCUCUAGGCCUGGGCAAGGGGCUGGGAGACCCACUCCAGGUGUCCAGGGCAUGCUCUUUCAGUGCAAGGCCAAGUUCCCAUCCCAGAGUUCCUGUUGGGGCUUGACCCUGAUGCUCCCCCACUCUGAGUUGUGAGGUGGGGUGGGGAGACUGCUGACAUCACCAUCAGCUGUCCCCCCGCAGCUCCCCCUACCCCAGAGUGGCCAGUAUAGUCUCUGUGGCAGCAAAGUCUGGUGUUCUUGGGCCACAAUGCUGCCUCAGAGGUGCCCCGAGAUCUCCUGCUUGAAUCCCCUCCCAUUCAUGGAAGAAAACACAGGCCCAAGGAGGGGGCGUGACAAUGUCCCCCUGCCACACAGCCGGACUGUCACUAAUAUUAGAACUUGCAUUUCUGGAGUCACAUGGCUUCCUGUCUCUUUGGAGAUUCACAAAGGGCACAGUCCCAGGGAGUGGCACCAUCAGGUCUUAGCAGAACCUGGGGGCUUGUCCAGAGACCCUGGCUGGGACAGGGAAGGGUGCUGAGGACGGUGGCUCAUGGGGAGACACAGGCUCCCUGGAAAAGCCGCAGGUACUCUGCAGGUCUGCCCAUCGGCUGCCAAGUGACACUGUGAGCCCAGAGGUGGCCAAUCUUAAGUUGCAGCCAUAUAAGUCAAAUUGCAUGAGAACCUUCCAAAGUGUUAAAUAGCAGACGCUGUUAUCAAGCAGCUUUUGCUAGUUUAUGCUGGCUAAGGAAGAACCCCAAACUCUCAGUGACCCACAGCAACACUGAUUCCUGCAUUGUUCGUGGUCCACGUGGACUGCGGGUCUGGGGCUCCUGGGCUCCCUGCUCAGGUUAGCUGAGCCUCUGUCCACAUGACUUCUUUACUCUGGGAUCCAGGCUGAAGAGGCCGCUUUCAUCUGGGACCUGCCAUUCUUAGAGCAAAGGAAAAGGAACAGUGACUAAACCUUGUAUCUGAGAUGAUGAGCGCCUCUGACUUCUUCACCCUGGAUUGGCCAAAGCAAAGCCCAUAGCCAAGUCCAAGAUCAAUGGCGAAGAGGGCACACUUCCAAGGGCAGGAGCACUGAGGAGUUGGGAAUCAUAUCACUCCACACAGAGGCUAAUAUACUAUUACUUUGGAAAGACCUGACAAUCAAAUACAAGCAUCUCGGGGCCAGAUUAGAGCCUCGGGAGGCCACCAGGUGCUGCUGGUGUGGAAGACGGACUUGGAGUCGGAGAAGUACACUCAAGUCCAGCGCAGCUGCCUGACUCACUUUGCAACCGGACCAGGUGCAUGGACCUCCUGGGCCGCAGUCUCCUCACACUUGUAAGACAGGGGUGAGAAUACCAACCUCCUGGAUGAUCACAGAGCCCUGGGCACAGCGCCCGCCCCGAGCCGACUUUGGGGUACGGACGUGGGCCAGAAGGCUGGAGAGGAGCCCUUGAGUUCAUUGACUGCAAAGAGCAGAGCCAUGUGGACACAGCAUGGCCGUUCCUCCAGAAGUUAAAUAUAGAACCGCCCUGUGACCGAGCAAUCCCACUUGUGGGUGUGUACCCAGAAGAGCUGAAAGCUGGCUCUUGCGCAGACACCCAUAUCCCCUUGUCCACAGCUGCAUCCCUGACCAUAGUCACCAGGGGAAACGAGCGAGGUGUGCAUCGACAUGUGAGUGGAUAAACAAAGCGUGGUCUACACAUGCGAUGGAAUACUAUCCAGCCUUAAGAAGGAAGGGAAUUCGGAUGUGUGCUGUCAUGUGUGGAUGAACCUUGGAGACCUCAUGCCCAGUGAAAUAAGCCAGACACAAAAGGCUGAUUUCACUUAGAUGAUUCCGUGGAGAGCAGGUGCCUGGUGUAGCCAAAUUUUUAGAGACAGAAAGUAGGAUGCUGGUUGCCUGGGACUGGGGGAGAAGGGAAUGGGGCGUUCGUGUUUAACAUGUACAGCCUUAGUUUGGGAUGAUGAAAAUGUUCUGGAGGCGGAUGGCGGUGACGGUUACGUAACAGUGAAUGUACUUAAUGCCACUGAACUUCA